CCAGGGCCGGUGCAAGGAUUUUUGCCGCCCUAGGCAAAAGUAAAGUUUGCCGCCCCCCCAUGUGACAUCACAAUGCCCCACCCAUAUGAUUUGCCAUGUUAUCUAACGCCAGUGCUGCAGUGCCGCCAUGUUUACAUUAAAAGGCCUGCAGGGACAGGCUAUAGACACCAGAACCACUACAUUAAACUGCAGUGGUACUGGGGACUAUAGUGUUUCUUUAAUGUGAGGUAAAUUAGAGAUUAGUGC